rnacentral:rRNA from 1 species
CAGUCGCCGCGGUAACACAGAGGGUGCGAGCGUUAAUCGGAUUUACUGGGCGUAAAGCGUGCGUAGGCGGCUUCUUAAGUCGGAUGUGAAAUCCCUGAGCUUAACUUAGGAAUUGCAUUCGAUACUGGGAAGCUAGAGUAUGGGAGAGGAUGGUAGAAUUCCAGGUGUAGCGGUGAAAUGCGUAGAGAUCUGGAGGAAUACCGAUGGCGAAGGCAGCCAUCUGGCCUAAUACUGACGCUGAGGUACGAAAGCAUGGGGAGCAAACAGGAUUAGAUACCCCUGUAGUCCCUGUCUCUUAUAA